rnacentral:lncRNA from 1 species
UUUAUGAAAGAAACAUAGUAAGUAACUCAGGGUUUGUUAUCUGGCAGCAAUUGCAGGAGUAACAAGAGAUGGCCACGGAGGGAGUGAGAAGUCGGCGAACACAGAGGAGGAAGAGAAGCACCAGUGCUGCAAGAGCAUCAACAACUGCUCCACUUCCAUGAAGUGGGCACUCUAAACUGCAAUUUAGCUUGUACCAUUCUGCAAACAUGUACACCUGAAAACAAAGAUGAUAUGAUAUCAAUUAAAAAAAUAAGCAAGUUUAGAUUAUCAUUCUUUUAAAUUUUAGAGAACACACAAAACAAAUGAGGUCCCUAAGCACACUCAUAUAAAGAAGUACAUUAUAGGAUAACAUAAUACUCCCUCAGUUUGACUUACGGUUAAAUUGACCAUUUUCAAAUCAAUAUAUCUUAUUAUUCUUUUAUAUAUAUGUAAAUAGUCUAUAAACAUUAUAAACUACAUACAAUUUAGUAUUAAUCACAAUGUUUGCUUUUUUGAAAAUCUAAAUAUAUAUGUUUCGUUAAUUAUAAAAAUGGUCAAUUUGACCAUAAAAGUGAAUGGAUGACUUUUAUCUUGGGACGGAAGGAGUAAUAAUAUUAAAAUAUUUUCUAAACGUACUCAUGUUGUCCACAUAAGAAUACCAAAUUAUGAAGAGUUUGAAUACUCAUAAUUGUCAAAAACUCGACUCGCAGCUACUAAUGUUGAAUUAGAUUAUGACUGAAAAUGAAGGUUUCUACUUUUAAGAAAAAAAUGUACUCCAUUUUUCAAAAAAAGAUUGCCAUAAGUGAACAGGCUCUGCUCUGACAAUAUUAAAAAUAGAAUACACAGCAAGUACAUUGUUUCACAGUUCACACACAAAUGCAAAUACUGAGUACUCUUUAGAUGGGUAGUGAUAUAUGUCUAUCAACAUGUUUGAUUAUCAUCAGUAGGAAAUAUGCAAUUGACAUUCUCACAGGUCCAUAGUUCUAAUGCAAGGACAAAAUUUCCCAUCUCUCCCACCACAGUUGUAGGCGAGCAACUAAGCAUAUCAAUUAUAUUGCAAAUUUAAAUCUUCAUUGUCAUUACUUGCCUUUUAAACUUAAUUAAAAGAGAGAAUAUCAUGCAAAGAAAAUUUAGAAACACUUAACUCUUUGAUUGGCAUAUUCAAUUUCAAAACAAACCACAAAUGAGGGAAAGUUUCAAGCAAUUAAUCCACAAAUAAAAUCGUACUAAUAAUAUAGUUGGUUAAAAAGAGCAUUUGAAAAAUCAUGUCAAAAGAAUCUAAUUUGUUAGCUUAAAAUUUACCAGUCAUCACCACAUCAUCAUCAUCAUCAUCAUCAUCAAGUCAUCCCAUCCUCCUCCUCACAUCUCUCUACUUGUAGUUUUCCGAGCAAUAAUUCAAAAGGGAAACAGGUAGAUAUAGCAAAUAUACCCUGGUGCAACUUGCAGUUUUCCUCAUUGACAUAGCAAAUAUACAAUACAUAUGUCUGAUCAAUAAUACAUAUGUGUGUUUGUGCGUGUAGAAAAAGAUAAAUAAACAUACAAAUUAUGCAACUUAGGAUCAACAAAAGUAGGGGAAGGGGUGUAUAUGCUACUGCUUCUUUUUUUAUUUUUGCAAAUUUCUGCUUAUCUUUGUUACAUGCAUCAUUGAGAAAAAUAAAAUAAAAUAUUUAAUUAUAAUAUGAUCAUUAUCAUAUAUGUCUUCCUUUACGUGAAGGAAGCAUUAGCAUCAAGAAAAGAUAAUAUGAUGGGGAACAUUGCCUGAAACAUGCAGUUCGUACCCCUUGCUUCUCUGAUGCAGUAGUUUUGUCAAUUUUGAGAUAUCGUGUAGAACAUUAUUACCUACCAUAAAGUUAGUGCCAGAGUUACCAGAACAUUACUCAAGUAUCUUCUAUGAAAUUUAGUUUGAUUGAAUUUAAAUUCUAAGAAAAUUCCUAAUUAUAAGCAAUUAUUAUAUAAAGUUCUCAUUAUGUAUCACGUUUUAGGCAAUGGAGAGAGUACCUUGUACCCAUUUCAAUUCUACGUGCAAUGAACUGACUACAAACUGUAAUUAAUACGACUUGACAAACAAAAUCUCUCUUUUUCCCUUUGGCGGGUACGGGGGACUUUGUUUAGAAACCAAAUUCUACCCUUUCUUGAAUUUUAUUUAUUUAUUGGUUUGAACGGUAAAGAGUAUUUUUGGGCCAAUUUACAUGUCAACGAAAAUCAUACUUUCCACAUAAGCCUGAUGCAGUCGGGAGAAUUCUCCAAGGUGCUGAACCUAAGGUACAAACUUAGAGUCAUGGAAAGGAACAAACCUCAUUAACCACCAGUAAUUCCUAUGACUUUCCAAGCAAUGCUUUUCUGUUUCUCUGCUACAGAUAAUUUGGCAGCAUCCACUCCUGCAAAAUUGCCAUUGAAAACACAGAUUUAUACAGCAAAACUUGGGUCAUAACUGUGCAAAUUGCGAGCAAAAGAACAGAAUUGUAAAACUUGAUUGUGAGAAAACAACAAAUAGCAAUAAACAAUUAAAAUAAUUACAUGAAAUUCAGUGAAACUUUGAAUACAUGAAAUUUAUUAAAGCUAAGAAAAUAAUGGGUUGAUUUAGAUCCCAAAAUAUUCAGAAAUCAAAUUAAACAAAUAUGGAAAUAGCCGUGGUUACUGACCAUAUUUAGUUUGAUUGAAUUUAAAUUCUAAGAAAAUUCCUAAUUAUAAGCAAUUAUUAUAUAAAGUUCCCAUUACGUAUCACGUUUUAGGCAAUGGAGAGAGUACCUUGUACCCAUUUCAAUUCUACGUGCUAUGAACCGACUACAAACUGUAAUUAGUAUGACUUGACAAAUAAAAUCUCUCUUUUUCCCUUUGGCGGGUACGGGGGACUUUGUUUAGAAACCAUAUUCUACCCUUUCUUGAAUUUUAUUUAUUUAUUGGUUUGAACGGUAAAGAGUAUUUUUGGGCCAAUUUACAUGUCAACGGAGAUCACACUUUCCACAUCAGCCUGAUGCAGUCGGGAGAAUUCUCCAAGAUGCUGAUCCUAAGGUACAAAUUAUAGUCAAGGAAAGGAACAAACCUCCUUAACCACCAGUAAUUCCUAUGACUUUCCAAGCAAUGCUUUUUUGUUUCUCUGCUACAGAUAAUUUGGCAGCAUCCACUCUUGCAAAAUUGCCAUUGAAAACACAGAUUUAUACAGCAAAACUUGGGUCAUAACUGUGCAAAUUGCGAGCAAAAGAAUAGAAUUGUAAAACUUGAUUGUGAGAAAACAACAAAUAUCAAUAAACAAUUAAAACAAAUAUGGAAACAGCGGUGGUUACUGACCAUAUUUCACGGUAAGAGAGAAAUUAAGACAACCGUACAAAGUAAACGCUUAGAAUCCAAGCAAUAAAUUGAGUUCGAAACCCUAUAUGCUUAGAAAUCGAAGGGGAAGAGGAUGAUACGGAUAUCCUAGAAGUCCGAUCUGUAAGCUUCAACAAUUGAGAGAGAUAUAUAGAGAGAGAUGAUGAUGGUGUGACAGGCAAACCCAGACCAAACCCGAAGCCCUUUACUUCUUAGGAGGUAUAUUGAAGAAAUCGAAGGAGGGAGAAGGGAGGGAGUACUCAAAUGAGAGGGGAAAGGAAAGAGGGAAAUCGAAGGAGGUAUAUUGCCCUUUACUUUGUUAAGCUUGGUUUGUUAUUUUUUGAAGGGUUAGAUUUAUCCCAACUUUGGACGGUUCAGAUCUUUUAAUAGGUUGAUUCACCAAGAAAAAUUCACCUUGUCAGUUAAUUCACCAAGAAAAAUUUUAAUCAACCAUGCAAACAAAUGAUAGUCAAAACAUUAAAUUUUGUCACAUACUUAACAUUUUGAACACACAAAUGUUUCAAACAGAGUUUCGUUCAAAUAGUAAAAUGAAAUUUUUAUAUCUAGAGUAUACAACAAAAGUAUGACACAAAAACAUCACUAUCACUUGAUUAAGCUCCAAAGAAA